GCGGGAUGCUUUACACAUGCAAGUCGAACGGCAGCGCGAGUUAAGCUUGCUUAACUUGGCGGCGAGUGGCGAACGGGUGAGUAAUGUAUCGGAACGUGCCCAGUAGCGGGGGAUAACUACGCGAAAGCGUGGCUAAUACCGCAUACGCCCUACGGGGGAAAGGGGGGGAUCGCAAGACCUCUCACUAUUGGAGCGGCCGAUAUCGGAUUAGCUGGUUGGUGGGGUAAAGGCCUACCAAGGCGACGAUCCGUAGCUGGUUUGAGAGGACGACCAGCCACACUGGGACUGAGACACGGCCCAGACUCCUACGGGAGGCAGCAGUGGGGAAUUUUGGACAAUGGGGGCAACCCUGAUCCAGCCAUCCCGCGUGUGCGAUGAAGGCCUUCGGGUUGUAAAGCACUUUUGGCAGGGAAGAAACAGCCUGGGAUAAUACCCUGGGCGACUGACGGUACCUGCAGAAUAAGCACCGGCUAACUACGUGCCAGCAGCCGCGGUAAUACGUAGGGUGCAAGCGUUAAUCGGAAUUACUGGGCGUAAAGCGUGCGCAGGCGGUUCGGAAAGAAAGGUGUGAAAUCCCAGGGCUUAACCUUGGAACUGCACUUUUAACUACCGAGCUAGAGUACGUCAGAGGGGGGUAGAAUUCCACGUGU
rnacentral:rRNA from 1 species